ACGGGAGGCAGCAGUGGGGAAUGUUGCACAAUGGGCGAAAGCCUGAUGCAGCGACGCCGCGUGAGCGAAGAAGUAUUUCGGUAUGUAAAGCUCUAUCAGCAGGGAAGAUAAUGACGGUACCUGACUAAGAAGCACCGGCUAAAUACGUGCCAGCAGCCGCGGUAAUACGUAUGGUGCAAGCGUUAUCCGGAUUUACUGGGUGUAAAGGGAGUGUAGGUGGUUUGGCAAGCCAGAUGUGAAAGCCCGGGGCUCAACCCCGUGGACUGCAUUUGGAACUGUUAAACUUGAGUGCAGGAGAGGAAAGUGGAAUUCCUAGUGUAGCGGUGAAAUGCGUAGAUAUUAGGAGGAACACCAGUGGCGAAGGCGGCUUUCUGGACGAUAACUGACGCUGAGGCUCGAAAGCGUGGGGAGCAAACAGGAUUAGAUACCCUGGUA
rnacentral:rRNA from 1 species